AAGGUUUGACAUGAGGGCAAAGUUGAAGAAAUUCAACGGAGGUUAUCCCGACACAGGUGGUGCAUGGUCGUCGUCAGUUCGUGCUGUGAAGCAUAUGCUUAAGUGCUAUAACGAACGNAACCCUCGUAUUUAGUUACUAUCAUUCAGUUGAGAACUCUAAAUAGACUGCUAAGGUAACUUAGAGGAAGGAGAGGAUGACGUCUGAUCAUCAUGCCCCUUAUAUCUUGGGCUA
rnacentral:rRNA from 1 species